rnacentral:rRNA from 1 species
UUAAGCGACUAAGCGUACACGGUGGAUGCCCUGGCAGUCAGAGGCGAUGAAGGACGUGCUAAUCUGCGAUAAGCGUCGGUAAGGUGAUAUGAACCGUUAUAACCGGCGAUUUCCGAAUGGGGAAACCCAGUGUGUUUCGACACACUAUCAUUAACUGAAUCCAUAGGUUAAUGAGGCGAACCGGGGGAACUGAAACAUCUAAGUACCCCGAGGAAAAGAAAUCAACCGAGAUUCCCCCAGUAGCGGCGAGCGAACGGGGAGCAGCCCAGAGCCUGAAUCAGUGUGUGUGUUAGUGGAAGCGUCUGGAAAGGCGCGCGAUACAGGGUGACAGCCCCGUACACAAAAAUGCACAUGCUGUGAGCUCGAUGAGUAGGGCGGGACACGUGGUAUCCUGUCUGAAUAUGGGGGGACCAUCCUCCAAGGCUAAAUACUCCUGACUGACCGAUAGUGAACCAGUACCGUGAGGGAAAGGCGAAAAGAACCCCGGCGAGGGGAGUGAAAAAGAACCUGAAACCGUGUACGUACAAGCAGUGGGAGCACGCUUAGGCGUGUGACUGCGUACCUUUUGUAUAAUGGGUCAGCGACUUAUAUUCUGUAGCAAGGUUAACCGAAUAGGGGAGCCGAAGGGAAACCGAGUCUUAACUGGGCGUUAAGUUGCAGGGUAUAGACCCGAAACCCGGUGAUCUAGCCAUGGGCAGGUUGAAGGUUGGGUAACACUAACUGGAGGACCGAACCGACUAAUGUUGAAAAAUUAGCGGAUGACUUGUGGCUGGGGGUGAAAGGCCAAUCAAACCGGGAGAUAGCUGGUUCUCCCCGAAAGCUAUUUAGGUAGCGCCUCGUGAAUUCAUCUCCGGGGGUAGAGCACUGUUUCGGCAAGGGGGUCAUCCCGACUUACCAACCCGAUGCAAACUGCGAAUACCGGAGAAUGUUAUCACGGGAGACACACGGCGGGUGCUAACGUCCGUCGUGAAGAGGGAAACAACCCAGACCGCCAGCUAAGGUCCCAAAGUCAUGGUUAAGUGGGAAACGAUGUGGGAAGGCCCAGACAGCCAGGAUGUUGGCUUAGAAGCAGCCAUCAUUUAAAGAAAGCGUAAUAGCUCACUGGUCGAGUCGGCCUGCGCGGAAGAUGUAACGGGGCUAAACCAUGCACCGAAGCUGCGGCAGCGACGCUUAUGCGUUGUUGGGUAGGGGAGCGUUCUGUAAGCCUGCGAAGGUGUGCUGUGAGGCAUGCUGGAGGUAUCAGAAGUGCGAAUGCUGACAUAAGUAACGAUAAAGCGGGUGAAAAGCCCGCUCGCCGGAAGACCAAGGGUUCCUGUCCAACGUUAAUCGGGGCAGGGUGAGUCGACCCCUAAGGCGAGGCCGAAAGGCGUAGUCGAUGGGAAACAGGUUAAUAUUCCUGUACUUGGUGUUACUGCGAAGGGGGGACGGAGAAGGCUAUGUUGGCCGGGCGACGGUUGUCCCGGUUUAAGCGUGUAGGCUGGUUUUCCAGGCAAAUCCGGAAAAUCAAGGCUGAGGCGUGAUGACGAGGCACUACGGUGCUGAAGCAACAAAUGCCCUGCUUCCAGGAAAAGCCUCUAAGCAUCAGGUAACAUCAAAUCGUACCCCAAACCGACACAGGUGGUCAGGUAGAGAAUACCAAGGCGCUUGAGAGAACUCGGGUGAAGGAACUAGGCAAAAUGGUGCCGUAACUUCGGGAGAAGGCAC